rnacentral:rRNA from 1 species
CACAAGCCUGACGGAGCAAUACCGCGUGAGGGAGGAAGGCCUUUGGGUUGUAAACCUCAAAAAUUAGGGAAGAAAAAAAUGACGGUACCUAAAAUAAGCAUCGGCUAACUCCGUGCCAGCAGCCGCGGUAAUACGGAGGAUGCAAGCGUUAUCCGGAAUAAUUGGGCGUAAAGAGUCCGUAGGCGGCUAGUCAAGUCUGCUGUCAAAGACCGAAGCUUAACUUCGGAAAGGCGGUGGAAACUGAAGAGCUAGAGUACAGAAGGGGUAGAGGGAAUUCCCAGUGUAGCGGUGAAAUGCAUAGAGAUUGGGAAGAACACCAGUGGCGAAGGCGCUCUACUGGACUAAAACUGACACUGAGGGACGAAAGCUAGGGUAGCG